ensembl:lncRNA
AAAAAAUCCAAAGGAAAAAAUCUGAAAGAUUACACAUCUAUUUUGCAGGUAAUUAUUUAGGUCUUGAGGUCAAAGAUAUGGGUUCAUAUAUAAAGUCAAACUUAGGAUCUUUGUUACUCGACUCUCUUUUUCCACUUUCUUGUCACUUCUUUCUUGUUUGGUCUCAAUAAAAGUUUAAAAUACCAACAAUUCUUACAAAAAAACAUGAUGGGAGGAAGAAGACACGAAGAACAAUCAUUAACAAAUGUGUCAAUACCAGGUUUAUGCUUCAGUUGUGUUCAGUGAUCUCCUUUGCAUUUAUAGUUCCUGUUGAGUCCACUCAUUGGCAUAUGUUAAAAAUCCUCCCACAUCAGUCUCUUCUCUACUGAUGUAGAGCUUCUCUUGGAUGUUUUCUUGGGUCCAUGUCAGUCUGCUCAUGAUGCUCAGGCUCAGAGAGUGAGGACUCCACUGCAGUGUUUUCUCCAGCAGGAUGAAGCAAAGGAUCAUGGGAAGGAAAUGAGGCCUCAGCUGGUGGGAAAGGUUUCCAGAUGAGCUGAGCGUGAUGAUGUCAUCGCUGCAGGGGGAGGAGCUUUACCGUCAGAAGGCGGAGCCAAGACUCUACUGUCAUCAGACGGCGGGAACAGAACUAUAUUUUUCAGCUGCAGGGAGGAGCUUUGCGUCUUCACCACACACCGUUUACCGUAAACCCAACCUCAGCCACCUCAGACGUCCUCAGGCAGCAGCUCCUCCAAUUCUGCCCUUCCUGCCACAUUCCUCACCUGAACCACAGUCCUGCCUCCUGACCCUGGAUCAGAAAGGAUGGAGGUGGGAGGCUCAAGGUGAAGUUCAAUGGCAAAGGAGGCAGACUAUAAACUACAUAUUUGGAAUCUGAGGAUCCAUCAAAGAUAUAAUAAAGUAAACUCAUAAAUUUUACAUCUAAACUCAAACUUUGCAUGUGAGAAAAUGUCCUAGUUUAAAUAAAAUCUGUGAUUG